CCAACGGGUAGCAGGAAAACCCGGAGCAGGGCAUUAAGGAGCCGGCGAGCGGACCAAGCAUGCGCAGUAGCGGUGGGUUGGUUUGAGAAGCCGCCAGGGAGCCAGCGCGGCUCCCUAGCUGCCUGGGGUAGGGGCGGGGCCCGCCUUAUAUGGGAGCUGCGUGGGGACAAACUGCGCGGGCCCAAGGCGCGGCGCGGAGGCCGGGCGGAGAGACGGCCACCUGGGGGACACAGCGCGCGGACGCCGGGCCAGUUCUUAAGGACAUCGGUAUUCAGACUUUUCAGGAGUGCUAGCUUACUCAUGACCGCGAUUUUCUGUAUCGGGGUUUUAUUGAAAUCACCUGGCGGUCUUGUGAAACUGCAGCUUCCGAUGGGCAGAUCAGAAGGGAAGCCCGAGACGCGACAUUUCCAGCACUCUCCGGGAGCGAAGCUGCUACCGCUGCCACCCUCUCUGCAAGGAGCCAGGGGAUGGAUGACCUCUAAGCAAACUUGGAUGGCUUUCUUCUCAUGUGGAAGAUGGCUGCUUAAGCUCCAGGCUUCACUUCUGCAUUCCAGCCAGAGGAAAAACCAACAUGUUCCCUCAUGAGAAGGACACCUCCCAACCUUCAGUUAUAUUUACUUUAUAAAACAUACAAGGGAGGUUAGAAAAUGUAGGGCCGGGCGCGGUGGCUCAAGCCUGUAAUCCCAGCACUUUGGGAGGCCGAGGCGGGUGGAUCACGAGGUCAAGAGAUCGAGACCAUCUGGUCAACAUGGUGAAACCCCGUCUCUACUAAAGAUACAAAAAAUUAGCUGGGCAUGGUGGCGCGUGCCUGUAAUCCCAGCUACUCGGGAGGCUGAGGCAGGAGAAUUGCCUGAACCCAGGAGGUGGAGGUUGCAGUGAGCCGAGAUUGCACCAUUGCACUCCAGCCUGGGUAGCAAGAGCGAAACUCUGUCUUAAAAAAAAAAAAAUGUAGUCACAAUCCAGGAAUCUUGUUAAAAAUUUGGGACUCUAUUAAGAAGGAAGGAGGAGAGAAUGAAUAUUGGGGUAUAACAAUUAGUUUCUGCACCAGAAUUGUUGCCUAUCUUUUGUUCUUACCUAAAGUGCUUAAGUAGGUUUUCGUUGAGUGCAACAUUUCUUUCUUUCUUUCUCUUUCUUUCUCUCUCUCUCUCUUUCUUUCUUUCUUUUGAGGCAGAGUCUUGCUCUGUUGCCCAGGCUGGAGUGCAGUGUCAUGAUCUCAGCUCACUGCAACCUCCGCUUCCAAGGUUCAAGUGAUUCUCCUGCCUUGGCCUUCUGAGUAGCUGGGACUACAGGUGCAGGCCACCACACUCAGCUAAUUAUUUGUAGUUUUAGGUAGCAAGGGGGUUUCACCAUGUUGGCCAGACUGGUCUCAAACUACUGAUGUAAGGGAUCCGCCUGUCUCGGCCUCCCGAAGUGCUGGGACUAAAGGCAUGAGCCACUGCACCUGGCCCUGAGUGCAACAUUUCACACCGUGUGUUGAGGGUGGUCCAUAGAAUUUCUGGGUUACAGGGUGUGUGCCUUUUAAUUUUCAUGGAUAUUAUUACCAACUGCCAUCCACUGACAAGGUACCAAGAUUAUAAGAGAAUGUCUGUUUCCCCAGAACCUCGAUAGUCCGAAUUGUAUUGAUACUUUUUUUUAUCUUUACCAAUAUGAGGGUUGAAAUGUGGUAUCCCAGAUGGUCUUAAUGUGACUUAAUAGGACUUCCUCUCACUUUUUAGUGAAGUUGAAUAUUUUCUCAAAUGUCUAGGAACCGUUUGUAUUUCCUUAUCUCUGAAUUGUUUUCAUCACUUGCCC
ensembl:lncRNA